CAGAACAGCUGUGUACGAGGAGGUCCCUCCUUAAGCACAGUUUGCCUAAACAGCUCUGAACCGGGAUGGUGCCCUAAAAGGGCGUUUCCGGAGUUUAGGGUGAGAACUUACCACUGUGCCUGCUAGUGGGGGCCUUGAGCCUGUUACAUGAAGAGGAGAAUCAUUUGGGAGCCUGCAGCAGUGAUUCUGUUCUUUCAGAGCGUCUGUGGAUUCCCUCUGCUUUUCUGCCUGCCUUGCCAUUGUCAACAAAUGGACCUGAUUACACUUGUACGGUUCAACUCUAGUUGAAAAGAAAAUAAGCCUCUGAACAAAUAAGCAUUUGUUCCUCCAGGUAGCCUGUGAUGCCACUGCAGUGGUGGAUGUUCCCUGAACACGCUGUGCAUUUUCUCACCUCAGGGUCUUCAGUCAAGCUGCUGCAUCUAUGUGGAAUUCCCUGUCUGUCUCCACCAACUGCCAAAUGCUUGCUGAUCUUUCAAGAUGGAAGUGAAAGGACACUACCUCUCCUAAGCUUUCCCUAGUGCCUUCAUGUACCACCAACCCCCAAGUCAAAAUUUACCUCCACCACCUCAGCACUUUCAUAACCUCUGCCUGACCUCUACUUUAGGACGAAAUAAAACUUAUCUUGUUCUAUUAACUGGAUGUAUAGGUUUAAUU
rnacentral:lncRNA from 1 species